rnacentral:rRNA from 1 species
AUUGAACGCUGGCGGCAUGCCUAACACAUGCAAGUCGAACGGCAGCACGGUCUAGCUUGCUAGAUGGGUGGCGAGUGGCGUACGGGUGAGUAAUGCGUAGGAAUACACCUUGAAGUGGGGGAUAACUUGGGGAAACUCAAGCUAAUACCGCAUGAGCUCUACGGAGGAAAGCUGGGGACCUGAAAGGGCCUGGCGCUUUAAGAAUAGCUUACGUCCGAUUAGCUAGUUGGAGUGGUAAAGGCACACCAAGGCGAAGAUCGGUAGCUGGGCUGAGAGGACGGACAGCCACACUGGGACUGAGACACGGCCCAGACUCCUACGGGAGGCAGCAGUGGGGAAUAUUGGACAAUGGGGGCAACCCUGAUCCAGCAAUGCCGCGUGUGUGAAGAAGGCCUGCGGGUUGUAAAGCACUUUCGUUGGGGAGGAGAGCUAUUAGGUUAAGAGCUAGAUAGUUGGACGUUACCCAAAGAAGAAGCACCGGCUAACUCCGUGCCAGCCGCCGCCGUAAGAC